rnacentral:rRNA from 1 species
UACCAGACUCCUACGGGAGGCAGCAGUGAGGAAUAUUGGUCAAUGGCCGAGAGGCUGAACCAGCCAAGCCGCGUGAGGGAUGAAGGUACAGAGUAUCGUAAACCUCUUUUGUCAGGGAACAAAGGCGGGGACGUGUCCCCGGAUGAGUGUACCUGAAGAAAAAGCAUCGGCUAACUCCGUGCCAGCAGCCGCGGUAAUACGGAGGAUGCGAGCGUUAUCCGGAUUUAUUGGGUUUAAAGGGUGCGCAGGCGGGUUGUCAAGCCAGGGGGAAAACCGGGGGCCCCACCCCCGCCCGCCGUUGAAACUGGCAGUCUCGGGUUGGAGAGAAGUAUGCGGAAUGCGCGGGGUAGCGGUGAAAUGC